rnacentral:hammerhead_ribozyme from 1 species
AUCCGGCUGAUGAGUCUUAAAUAGGACGAAAUGUACAUCUUGGAU